rnacentral:rRNA from 1 species
UACGUAGGUGACCAGCGUUGUCCGGAUUUACUGGGCGUAAAGAGCGCGCAGGCGGUCGUUCAAGUCGAGUGUGAAAGCCCCCGGCUCAACUGGGGAGGGUCAUUCGAUACUGAUCGACUGGAAGGCAGGAGAGGGAAGCGGAAUUCCCGGUGUAGUGGUGAAAUGCGUAGAUAUCGGGAGGAACACCAGUGGCGAAGGCGGCCGCCUGGUUGGAUACUGACGCUGAGACGCGAAAGCGUGGGGAGCAAACAGG